ACAUUUUUAGCUUAAUGGUUAGAGAACUAGGCUUGCAAUCCCAAGGUCGUGGGUUCUAUUCCCAGGGAGAGCA